UUCGUUUGCAUCCUCUUUUUUUUCAGAUCUGAAAGUGAAAUCACUUGGUCCUUGGAUGUUUCUGCUUCUGUUUCUUGUUGUUCCGAACUUGGCUCAGUCCCAGAUACUCUUCCAAGUAGAGAUAAACAGAUCCAUUUCUUUCCUUCGUCCUUCAUCGCGUUUAUACUAAGAGAAACGAAUACGUUGCAGGGCUUCAACUGGGAGUCGUGGAGGCAGCAAGGCGGCUGGUAUAACUUCUUGAAAGACAAAGUCUCUGAUGUAGCCAACGCUGGAGUCACCCACGUCUGGCUGCCUCCGCCCUCGCACUCUGUCGGCGUUCAAGGUUACAUGCCGGGCCGGCUCUACGACUUGGGUGCUUCCAAGUAUGGGAAUCAGGAUGAGUUGAAGGCGCUGAUCGGCGCUUUCCACGACAAGGGAGUCAAAUGCGUGGCCGACAUCGUCAUCAACCAUCGUUGCGCAGACAAGCAAGACGGGAGAGGCAUAUGGUGCAUCUUCGAAGGCGGAACCGAUGAUGCCCGCCUCGACUGGGGUCCACACCUGAUCUGUAGGGACGACACACAGUACUCCGAUGGCACCGGCAACCUCGACACCGGCGAGGGCUUCGCGGCGGCUCCCGACAUCGACCACCUCAACACGCAGGUCCAGCGUGAGCUCACGGACUGGCUGAGAUCGGCUUCGAUGGGUGGAGGCUCGACUUUGCCAAGGGUUACUCAAGCAUCGCCAAGAUCUACGUCGAACAGAUGCAGCCAAACUUCGUGGUGGCUGAGAUCUGGAGUUCAUUAGCUUACGGAAACGAUGGGAAGCCAGCAUACGAUCAGAACGGCAACCGCCAAGGGCUGGUUAAUUGGGUUCAGCAGGUCGGAGGCCCAGCGACGACCUUCGAUUUCACCACAAAGGGAAUACUACAAGCUGCCGUGGAAGGUGAACUGUGGAGAAUGCGUGAUCCCCAGGGGAAGGCGCCCGGCAUGAUGGGGUGGUGGCCGGAGAAGGCUGUCACCUUCGUCGACAACCACGAUACCGGUUCGACGCAAAGGUUGUGGCCUUUUCCUUCUGAUAAGGUCAUGCAAGGCUACGCUUAUAUACUCACGCAUCCGGGAGUCCUUUCCAUCUUCUACGACCACAUGUUCGACUGGGGAUUGAAGGAGAAGAUAACUCGGUUGGCUGAAACCAGAACACGAAAUGGAAUUCAUUCGGGUAGCGCUCUCAACAUUCUGGCCGCUGAUGCUGACCUCUACAUGGCAAUGAUCGAUGGGAAGAUAUUGACAAAGCUAGGCUCGAGAUACGAUGUGGGGAAUCUCGUUCCUUCCAACUUCCACGUUGUUGCCUCUGGCAAUGACUACUGCGUGUGGGAGAAGAGAUGAAGACGAUGAUGAUGAAUCAUGGAAGAGACUUUUCGCUUCUAUUUCGUUAACGUUUUUCAUCUAUGUUGUAAGAAAAAAAUAUCGUUUCUCAUCUUUGUAAAUAUAUUUUAGUGUGAAAUCUUGGGUGCUGUUGUUAGCUUUAGAAAAAAGAUGGUUUCAUUGUGAUAUUAAA